UCUCUAUCCGACACUGCAGACUGCACGCUGAAGAGUGAAGUAAUGGAGUGACGAGAUUGGCGACUGACCAACAACCUAAGACCGGAAUGAACACUUGAACAGCUGAUAAGCUGAACACUGUUGUAAAUUGUAAAUUUGUAAUCUCAGCUUCUUCAUUUUCAACAACAUUUAAAAUGUCUGGCACUGCAGUAUACAAACAAUCAACUAAAGCCGACGACAGUUUUCUAUUCUCGUUGCGUAUAAUUCCAACUUCGGUGUUACGUACAACAUUUAACCGAUUGGCGACUGAGAUAACGCAGUCAACAUCUUCCAUCCUUUUUCACUGGAAUACGGAAAGAAAAGGAAGCUCGUAAAGCUGUGUGGUCCAGAUAUCAGCAACCGCGAAAUUCCUGGAUUGCCCGGAAUCCCCGUGUGUUUAGUGCUUUGGCAUUAACUACUGGUUUAUUAAUUUUUUUCAGUAAACCUCUGUAUGACACCAUAGUCACACCUUCAUACAAAGCCUUAGAAAAACCAA